GUUUUAAUAGUUUAACAAAAACAUUGGUCUUGUAAAUCAAAAAUAAAAUAUAAUUUUUUUAAAACU
rnacentral:tRNA from 1 species